rnacentral:lncRNA from 1 species
AAAUCUCAUGUAGAAGUCAAGAAUUUACAAAAGAUGAGUAGCAGAGAGAUUCUGGUUUAAAGAGAGAUGAAGGAAUCCCAGAAUGUCCUCCUUCCACCUAUUUCCAACCUAGAUACUUUCAAGGACACUAGGGCCAUAAGCAAGGUUGGACCCCUUGGCAUCAUCAGGAAUGGUCAAGGACCCCAAGCAAUCUAACUCUUCUUAGAAAUUUAGUAGCAAUCCAUUACCAUACAGUUUUCUAAAAUCCUAAAAAAAAAAAAAAAAUCUAUUUUCCACCUGUACCACACUUUUGGCUACUAAGUCCAUUGCUUCCCGGCCACUUAGAGAAGUACCACUUAAUUAUUGUUACCUUUCCCUUGUCUUAGACUUGCCCUGCUCUAUCUUCAAGGAGUAUGGUUUCUUCUUCUUAGUAGUCACACUAGAACAUUUUAUGACCUUAGAAACUUUGUUUACAUCCUCCUCCUCUUUCCAGACAGAACAUUCCGAAUCUGUUUAGUCUGUUCUCACUGGAGGACUAAAUGCAAUAAUGUAUGUAAAGCACCAAGCAAGCAACAAGGGUGACAUAAAGAAGGGGUUCAGCAAGCAUUAUGCCUUUAUCCUUCCUUUUCCAUCGCCUUCAUCACUUAAAGGGCUCUUGUAUGGUUUUGUCUUCCAUUGUAACCCUUUGUUCUUUUCUUAGCUACACUCAUUGCUGUGCCUCAAAUAAGGUUGGACAAGACAAUGAAGUCAUCUCUACCUACACAGGCAAACAGUAACACUUCAAGACUGUGAACACCAACGCCAACCAGCACCAUGGGAAGUGCCAUCACAGCCAGGAACACAGAGUUCACCCUUCUCUAUGUAGCCUCCACAUUCCCUUGACAGGAAAAUUGCAGCAAAGAAACCUUGGCCCCAGUAAGGAUUUCUAUUAUGCUUCUGCAUAACUGAGGGAGGUACAGAGGAGAGAGAGAAAGAGAGAGAGAGAGAGAGAGGAAGCGAGCAUAAGCAAUAGGGAGUGAGCAGGGGGGGAUCUGAUCUAGCUGAGCCAUGUGGGAAGAAGAAAUACGUUUCCUCUGCAGAAAGAGAGGCAUGAGAAACAGAGAACAGAAGUCCUCAGACAGGACUGGAACUGUUAGGAAGGGGGCCAGCAUUCACUUGGUGAACUUAUACGUGGAGGAAAAGAAAGUCACGGGAACGUCAAGACAUUAUUGGCAGGAGGAUAAAUUGGCACGAGCUUUUGAGAGGACCAUUGGUCAACAUCUAUCACAGUCUUAAGAGAUUCUGGAAUCACAUUUUUUAGGAAUCUAAACUUGCAGAAAUUCUAACAUUGUACAAAUAGACAUACAAUGAUGUUCAGUCAAGCAUUGUUUCUAAGGGCCUAAGUGUUCAGCCUAAGUGUUCAACAGUGACUGUUUAAUAAAUUAUGGUGUAUCCAUAUAAUGAAUAUCAGGCAACAGUGAAAACACUGAGGUAGUGAUAUAUUACCAAUAUGAAAAGAUCUUAAAAAUGCACUAAGUGAAAAGGGUAAGUUGUAAUAUGAGCCAGUUUUUGUUUCAUAAUAAUAUAAAUACAGCAGUCUGGAAGGAUACAUGUGGAUUGCCGUGAUUUUCUUGGAGAGGAAGAGCAUUGUCACUUUUUACUUUGGGUACUUCUAGAUUGUUGAAAUUAGUAAUUAAACAUCAAUUAAAUAGAAAAGCUAGCUCUAGCACAGUGGUUAUGUGCAUGGGCUGUGAAGCCAUAAUACUGGAGUUGAAGCCCAGUUCUGCCUCGUCCUAUAAAUGAUAAGUAACUCAACUUCUCUGUGAUUCAGUUUCUUCAUUUGUAAAAUGAUAAUAACGAUAGUACCAACCCUACAGGGUUAUUGCGCCAAUUAAAUGAGUUAAUACGCUCAAAAAGUUUAGAAAAGGCCUGGAAUCAGCAAAUGCUUGCUAAAUUGUUGGCAAGGAAAACAAUAAUUUGGUUCUUUUUUUUUUUUAAUGGCCAGAAUAUGGAAGGAGAAAAGUGGGAGAAGAUUAGUGCCAGAUGAUAAAAGGCCUUGCACAUCAGGCAAAGGAGUGAGAAUUAACUUAUUCAGUAGUCAAUAAGGAGCCACGUAGUCAUUCAACAAAUAUUUAUUGAAGGCCUUCUAUGUGCCAGGCACCAUUCUAGAUGACUGGGACACAUCAGUGAAUGAAAUAAAGAGCAUUUUAGAAAAGCACCAGUGUAACCAAGACUGGUCUUUUGGGCAUGAUGGUGGCAUGUCUUAAAAGUGUUUUAUGUGUGUUUGUGGGGGAGAUGAUCCAAAACACUGGGGGUUGUCAGCCAGGAGGUCACUGCAUUGUUCAGGUGACCAGGGGCAGAUACGUGAGAGGGAUAUAUGAAAGGCCAGAGAAAACAGGCAAUUCCUAGUGUUGGCAAGGUGGCUGAGGGGAGGGGGCGGGUGGGGAGCUGUGGUGGCCAGAGAACCUUUGAACACCAGCUUCUUAAAGUUCAUUUGAGCACCAGCUGACUCAGUUGCCCUGGACCCGGUCCUAAUCCCAUGUCCACCACUGCUGAUGUGAGGGGCCCUGGAAAGCUGAGUUUUCAUGAGUCUCAGAAUCCUUUUAUAAAAUGACAGGGUCUGACCCUUAUGAUCUCCAGGGCCCCUUUUGGCUCUAACAUUCUACAGUUUUCAUGUCAUUAUAAAGCGGCAACAGAAUGGGACUUCCUUUCCCAUUACCAAUAUGUUAUAGUCUAGAGUCAAAAGAAAAACCACCAAGACAUAGGAUUCAGAUGUGCAGGAUAAUGUAUGAGAAGACUGUUUACAUUCAUUUCCUUUCUGAGAAAGCACAUACUGAAAUGUACAUGUCAAGGUCUGAAAAUGGGUUACUCAAAUAAUUUCCUUCCAUACAUGCAGCUGUUCUAAAGUAUAAGCCACACUCGUCCAGUAAAACCAUCAUCUGUUCUGUAAAGAAUAUGAGCAUUCAUCUGGCCCUUAUUUUUAGAGUAAGAGGUCAAGUGCACAAGGGGUGAAAUGUAGUCAAGUCCACAGUGCCAGAUGCAGACAGGGCGCUGAAGUCCAAUUAUAAAUCGUAAUACCUGAAUUUGUGGUUAUUUAAAUUAGAUGUCUGAAAAGAUCAAAACAAGGAAAUCAUGGACUAUUAGUGUGGCAAACAGAAGCUGCAAAAGCCUACGUUUCAUUUGUUCAUUCAUUCAACAAAUUUCUCUCACAAAGUAAAUCACCAAAAUAAACAGACUCUGACUCAUUUCCCAUUGCUUGCUGGAGUUUGGUUCUUUUUCCCCACCCAGGGUCAUGGAAUACGUGAACUUCAGACUUACUCUCUGUGUGAGAAAAACCCUGCGAGAAGAUAAUCAACUCUAUGUUAGAAGAAAUUGCAACUUUCCUGGCUCAGGAGCCAGGCUACCUGAGCCCUGAGCCCAGCUCUGCCACUGACCACCCAUGCAACUUUAGGCAAGUUACAGGUCUCUUUGCCUCAGUCCCCCUCUCGUAGGGUUGUGAUGAAGAUGUUACUAUUUCUACAUUGUUUUGAACAGUUCCUGCUGUACAGUAAGCACACUAUAUAAGUGUUUAAAAGAUAAAUCUUAGUUGCUAGAAGCAACACAAAGCA